rnacentral:rRNA from 1 species
UAAACGGCCGCGGUACCCUGACCGUGCUAAGGUAGCGUAACCACUUGUCUUUUAAAUAAAGACUCGUAUGAAAGGCAUCACGAGGAUCAAACUGUCUCCUUUUUUCAACCAGUGAAACUAAUCCCCCCGUGAAGAAACGGGAAUUCCACUAUAAGACGAAAAGACCCUGUGGAGCUUAAGGCAAAGUAAUUUUUAUUACUUCAAAUAACCCUUUCCGAAGAUUAUACACACAACAUCUUAAUUAUUUAGCCUUUAGUUGGGGGGACUGCGGAGUAAAACCAACCCUCCACGCGAACAAUCUCCCACAGAGCCACAACUCUGCACAUCAACACAUUGACAACAAUUGACCCAAUUACUUGAGCAACGAAACAAGUUACCCCAGGGAUAACAGCGCAAUCCAUUUCAAGAGUCCCUAUCGACAAAUGGGUUUACGACCUCGAUGUUGGAUCAGGGUAUCCCAGUGGUGCAGCCGCUACUAAAGGUUCGUUUGUUCAACGAUUAAAACCCUACGUGA